GACGAACGCUGGCGGCGUGCUUAACACAUGCAAUUCGAACGGUGAACCCCUUCGGGGGGGGUCAGUGGCGAACGGGUGAGUAACACGUGAGCAACCUGCCCCUGACUCUGGGAUAACCCCGGGAAACCGGAGCUAAUACCGGAUAUGACAUCUUCGGGCAUCCGAUGGGUGUGGAAAGAUUUAUCGGUUGGGGAUGGGCUCGCGGCCUAUCAGCUUGUUGGUGGGGUAAUGGCCUACCAAGGCGACGACGGGUAGCCGGCCUGAGAGGGCGACCGGCCACACUGGGACUGAGACACGGCCCAGACUCCUACGGGAGGCAGCAGUGGGGAAUAUUGCGCAAUGGGCGAAAGCCUGACGCAGCGACGCCGCGUGAGGGAUGAAGGCCUUCGGGUUGUAAACCUCUUUCAGCGCCGAAGAAGCGAAAGUGACGGUAGGCGCAGAAGAAGCACCGGCUAACUACGUGCCAGCAGCCGCGGUAAUACGUAGGGUGCGAGCGUUGUCCGGAAUUAUUGGGCGUAAAGAGCUUGUAGGCGGUUUGUCGCGUCUGCUGUGAAAUUUCGGGGCUCAACCCCGAACUUGCAGUGGGUACGGGCAGACUAGAGUGUGGUAGGGGAGACUGGAAUUCCUGGUGUAGCGGUGAAAUGCGCAGAUAUCAGGAGGAACACCGAUGGCGAAGGCAGGUCUACUGGGCCACUACUGACGCUGAGAAGCGAAAGCAUGGGUAGCGAACAGGAUUAGAUACCCUGGUAGUCCAUGCCGUAAACGUUGGGCGCUAGGUGUGGGGUCCAUUCCACGGGUUCCGUGCCGCAGCUAACGCAUCAAGCGCCCCGCCUGGGGAGUACGGCCGCAAGGCUAAA
rnacentral:rRNA from 1 species